CCCUUAGAUGUUCUGGGCCACACGCGCGCUACACUGAAGGGAUCAGCGUGUUUUCCCUUCCCGAGAGGGACGGGUAACCCGCUGAACCCCCUUCGUGGUAGGGAUCGGAGCUUGCAAUUGUUCUCCGUGAACCAGGAAUUCCCAGUAAGCGCAAGUCAUAAGCUUGCGUUGAUUACGUCCCUGCCCUUUGUACACACCGCCCGUCGCUACUACCGAUUGAACGUUUUAGUGAGGUAUUUGGACUGGGCCUUGGGAGGUUUCGGCCUCCCUUGUUGCUCGGAAAGACUCCCAAACUUGAGCGUUUAGAGGAAGUAAAAGUCGUAACA
rnacentral:rRNA from 1 species